GGUGUGGUUCCCGAGCGGCCAAAGGGAGCAGACUGUAAAUCUGCCGUCAUCGACUUCGAAGGUUCGAAUCCUUCCCCCACCACCA
rnacentral:tRNA from 3 species